AAGGUUGGUGAGCAAGAAGUGACCCAAGUGGUUUACACCAAACUGCAUCUCAAAGCCAUCCUCUGUCUUCAUGUAUGGACACUGGAAUAUCCCUGCAUUAUUUAUCAGAACAUCCAGCCUUGGCUCUUCCUGCAGGACGCGGUGGCAGAAGGCGCGCACGGAGCGCAGCGAGGCCAGGUCCAGCUCGCGGACCACCAGCUCGCCGCCGCCCUCGGCCGCCUCCCGCUCGCCCAGCUCGGCUCGGAUCUCGCGGGCCGCCCGCUCGGCCCGCGCGCGGUCGCGGCACCCCAUGAUGACGCGGGCCUGCAUUCGCAGCAGCUCGGUGGCCGCCGCCCGGCCUAGCCCGCUGUUGGCCCCGGUGAUGAUCACCGUCUUGCCCCGCAUGGAGGCCCCGGCUCCGGCUCCGGGGCGGGCCGCGGCCCGCAGCCAGCGCCAGGCGGCGAGGAGCAGACCCCCACCCAGCAGCGCCGCCGUCAGCGCCGCCGGGGCCAUGAUAGCGGGCAG
rnacentral:lncRNA from 1 species